CUUUGGCCUCUGCUGCUUCUGCUAUUCACUGGUUGCACACUUGAACCUUGGAAGGCUGUCUGCACCUCCACUUGGCUUAGCGUAAGCUUUUCCUUCGUCAGCUGUUUUAGCGAAAAACGGUCUAGUCCACCUAUACGACACCGUUUUUACUCGUUACAAACAGAGCGGAGGCUGAGCCUUCGCUUCUCAGUCCACAGAGCAGAGCAGCCCACUUUUGUUUUGCAUACUCUUUCUCGGGCUUUGCUAGUCAAGUCUUGUGUCGUUGAAAGACGAUUAGGAGUUAGCUUGAAACCUCCAUUCUCUGCCUGUAGCUGUGGUUUUGUUUAACAGAUAUUGUGUUUUUGGGAAAGAUGAAGAAAAUGAUAGCCUUAGGAUUCGAGGGUUCGGCCAACAAGAUUGGAGUUGGAGUUGUGACCUUAGAUGGGACGAUUUUAUCAAACCCGAGGCAUACUUACAUCACCCCUCCUGGCCAAGGAUUCUUGCCUCGUGAAACUGCCCAACAUCAUUUGCA
rnacentral:misc_RNA from 1 species